rnacentral:rRNA from 1 species
ACCUACGGGGCGCAGCAGUGGGGAAUAUUGCACAAUGGGGGAAACCCUGAUGCAGCAACGCCGCGUGAGUGAGGAAGUAUCUCGGUAUGUAAAGCUCUAUCAGCAGGGAAUAGAAAAGAAGGUACCUGAAAAAGAAGCCCCGGCUAACUACGUGCCAGCAGCCGCGGUAAUACGUAGGGGGCAAGCGUUAUCCGGAUUUACUGGGUGUAAAGGGAGCGUAGACGGGCUUUUAAGUCAGCGGUAAAAAUUCGGGGCUCAACCCCGUCCGGCCGUUGAAACUGGGGGCCUUGAGUGGGCGAGAAGAA